UACGGGGGGGGUAAGCGUUGUUCGGAAUUACUGGGCGUAAAGGGCGCGUAGGCGGCCUGCUAAGUCGGACGUGAAAUCCCUCGGCUCAACCGAGGAACUGCGUCCGAUACUGGUGGGCUUGAAUCCGGGAGAGGGAUGUGGAAUUCCAGGUGUAGCGGUGAAAUGCGUAGAUAUCUGGAGGAACACCGGUGGCGAAGGCGGCAUCCUGGACCGGUAUUGACGCUGAGGCGCGAAAGCCAGGGGAGCAAACGGG
rnacentral:rRNA from 1 species